AUUGAACGCUGGCGGAAUGCUUUACACAUGCAAGUCGAACGGCAGCACGGACUUCGGUCUGGUGGCGAGUGGCGAACGGGUGAGUAAUGUAUCGGAACGUGCCCAGUCGUGGGGGAUAACGUAGUGAAAAUUACGCUAAUACCGCAUACGAUCUAUGGAUGAAAGCGGGGGAUCGCAAGACCUCGCGCGAUUGGAGCGGCCGAUAUCAGAUUAGGUAGUUGGUGGGGUAAAGGCCCACUAAGCCAACGAUCUGUAGCUGGUCUGAGAGGACGACCAGCCACACUGGAACUGGACCACGGUCCAGACUCCUACGGGAGGCAGCAGUGGGGAAUUUUGGACAAUGGGCGAAAGCCUGAUCCAGCCAUUCCGCGUGCAGGAUGAAGGCCGUCGGGUUGUAAACUGCUUUUGUACAGAACGAAAAGGUUUCUACUAAUACUAGGAGCUCAUGACGGUACUGUAAGAAUAAGCACCGGCUAACUACGUGCCAGCCGCCGCAGUAA
rnacentral:rRNA from 1 species